UAUUGCUGAGUUUAUUUUCUUAGUGUUUGUUGUGAGUUCCUAGUGGUGUCUACAGCUUGUGGGAAAGCUGAUCUACCUCUCGAAUAGUAGAUCAAUUGUAUCUUGCUUUAUUAUUGAAGGAAAAAUAAGAAAAUCAGUUAUAUCUUUGUGUUCUUAUACUGUUCUUCUCUUUUAUUUAUUGUUUUUAUUUCUAAGUGAUUCAUAUCGGAUCUUCGCCAAAACACAAUUAUUCCGCUGUUUUCAAUAGAAAACAACCACCAAACAAUGGAAAAACUGAGAAAAUAGGGAGAAAACGUUGGGAAAACAAUAGUAACAAUUGUAUUCCACUAGUAGACAAACAAAACCAAAGCAAGAUACAAUGUUCUUCAAUUCGAGAGGAAGAACAACUCUCCAACAAUCUCCGGCAACGCCAAGAGCCCAAGCAAGAAAACC